rnacentral:tRNA from 1 species
GCCUCAUUAGCUCAGUGGUUAGAGCACUGGUCUUGUAAACCAGGGCUCUGGAGUUUCAUUCUCUUAUGGGGCU